rnacentral:rRNA from 1 species
UGGGGAAUAUUGGACAAUGGGCGGAAGCCUGAUCCAGCCAUGCCGCGUGUGUGAAGAAGGCCUUUUGGUUGUAAAGCACUUUAAGCGAGGAGGAGGCUACUUGGAUUAAUACUCUAGGAUAGUGGACGUUACUCGCAGAAUAAGCACCGGCUAACUCUGUGCCAGCAGCCGCGGUAAUACAGAGGGUGCGAGCGUUAAUCGGAUUUACUGGGCGUAAAGCGUGCGUAGGCGGCUUCUUAAGUCGGAUGUGAAAUCCCUGAGCUUAACUUAGGAAUUGCAUUCGAUACUGGGAAGCUAGAGUAUGGGAGAGGAUGGUAGAAUUCCAGGUGUAGCGGUGAAAUGCGUAGAGAUCUGAAGGAAUACCGAUGGCGAAGGCAGCCAUCUGGCCUAAUACUGACGCUGAGGUACGAAAGCAUGGGGAGCAAACAGG